UAUUGAAGUCAGUUCCUAACAUCUCUAUAAUGUUACAUGCUAAUUUAUGAGUUGCAUAAUAUGAUUGAAUUGACAUUUUCAUGUCAAUGAACUAUUCAAGUGAACUUCCAAACGAAUCAAUCGCGAGUAAAAAUCAUGUGUCUUGGCAUCUUUAAAAGUACGAGCCACAAUGAUGGAUGGUUGUUUUAGUUUAAAAUGAACGACCACAUCAUAUCUAUGAAAGUUUUGUGCAAAAAUUAUUAUCGUUUAACAUUACUCUUUAUUAUUAUUUUUGGCCAUUUGUGGAGGCAAAAUUUUAAACCAAUCCUGAAGUAUCCGAAGAAAUUUCUUGCUCUCAAAGAUGACUAAAAUCUUUGUUGUUUGUUUAACUUGUUUGUAUUUGUUUUUUCAUUCUUUCUUCGCUUAGCUCUUGGUAUUAUAAAAAGAGGACUGUUAUAUUACAUUUUCUUUUUUUCACCCUUAUGUAUCAUUAUUAUUUGUUUUCAUUAAUAUCUUAAUAAUUAUCUCCAAACAAAAAAAAUCAAUCAUAACUGUUCAUGUAAGAGGGCAGUAACAAAAAAUUGGUGAUAUAUAACAAUUUUCUUAUAUUUAUAGGAGUUAUUAAUUUAGUAGUUAAAAUUUGAGUUAUUAACUUUGAGAUUGAAGAUUCAAAUAUAAGGGCAAGUGUCAAAGAUUAGAUCUAUGAUCUAGAAUUUUUUUUUCUUGGUGAUCUAUAUUUAGGUGGUGCCUUAUUGCUAAAAACAUCACAUGGCCAUUACAAUUAGUUUUAUAACAAAAGGGCAGAGACAGAGCAGUAUCAUGAAGACUAGCAGACAAUAUGUAGUGGCUAUGUUUCAAGCCUGUGGUUCACCUGCAGCCUAAUAUUAAUAUAUCCACACAAACAUCCUCUAUAUUAAUUAUAUAUGUACUGUGUGUGUGUGUAUGUGUGGUGAUGGAGUAAAGAGUUUAUGAUGAUGAGAAGUUUAUAAACAUGUGGCUGCCAUUUGCUAGAACAUUUAGGCAUUGGCCUUUCCAACAACUACUAAAAUACUUUCAUAUACAAUUCAGAGGUGGAAAGAACAUGAAAUGAAUGACUUUUUUUUUUUUAAUAUAACUACUGGAGUCUCCAUGGGUGCAAACGUAUCAGUUUUUGUCUUUUCAAUAUCAAUACAUUUUGGUAUUGGUUGAAAUAAAAAUUUCAUUUACAUUGGUUAGUUUUCGAUACGUAUUUUGAUACUCCUAAUAUUAUUCGAUAUUGCUGAUACGUAUCAUUCGAUACCAUUAGGUCUUUAGAUACCACUAUCUAAAAGCAUUAGGUCAAAGAAGACCUUUUGAUGCCCAAAAAAUAAGCUUACCAGGACAAUAAGACAAUGAGUUUAUGAUAAUUUACAGGGGGUCUCUCAAGACAAUAAGUUGAAUUAUACAAUCCCAUCGAGGGUAUAAUGACAAAAAGCUAAAGACUUAAAAUGAAUGAAAAUAAGUUUUGAGACCUCUGGUAAAACUCCAAUUGACAACCAGGCCAAUGCCUUCUUGCCAUGUUUGAAUGAAGAGCUUGAGGUGAGCUGGAAAUUACUUGUUUGGAUGAAGAAUUGUGUGGCCAUGGAAGCUUUUCCAACAUCUCUUUGUUGAACAGUGUUGUUGGACAUCUCCUGCAUUCGUCAAUUCUUGUGCCUUAUCAUGGAUGGAGAAUUAGCCACAGAACUCACCAUCAGAAUCAUGGACAUGUUGAAAAUGAUGAAUCAUGGGUACCGAUUUUUGUUAUGUGGUUGGACACUGUUCCUUGCAUGCCUUGGUACUGCAGAAAGGUACUAAUUAUAAUAUUGGAGUCAUGCUAAAUGAGAUUCACCCCUUCCCAACUUUUGUCAUGUUAGGCAAGGUUCUUUGUAUCAGCAGCCCCUUGUGUUCCAUGUUGGUAACCUAAUGGUCCUGGGUAGAAUUGAACCAAAUGCUUUUGUGGCUAUUCUUCAAAUUUUUCAUCAAGAAUCCUUCACAAAGAUUGAUGUAGUAGUGAUACUAUGAUACAUAAAGAGAAUGGAAAAUAAUUUGUCUUACAAUUCACUUAGAAUAAUAUUGCAAAGGGGUUAGACUUGGUUUGCAAUGGAUUAAUUUUAUAAAUUAAACUUAUAAGCUUAAAUACUUAAGUUGCUUGGAUCUUUUGAUCGAGUGGUUGGGUUAGUGGGACACUGGUUAAAGUUUGGAUUUGUGAUAAAUUUUUUUGGAUAAAGUGAAGGCUUCUCAUGAUGUCUACAUUUCAUAUUUUGGAUUUUUUCAACAUACUUCUACAACAAUUAUUUAAACACAAAAUUAUAUAAUGAGGCGAACGGAACUUGAACCUAAGACCUUUGAUCUAAAAAAUUCAAAUUGAGGGUUAUAUGUGUUGUGUAUAAACUGGUGGUAAUCCCUGUGUGUGUUUCGGCACAAACUAACUAGUAAGGGUUAAUGUAUCUCUUCAAAAUUCCAAAAUAAAAAAGUUUCAUAAAAUAAAAUAAGAAGGCUGCUAUGGGUUGUUAUGGGACUAUGGUAGUGUUUGGAUGCUGAAACUGUCAGUAGUUUUGGUGCACAGGAAAGGUAAUUACUGAUAGAGAUACCGGGAAGUCUAGAGGGCAUGUGUUUUUUUACGUUUUGUGCUAUUUGCAGGGUUAAGCAUGUGAUGGUGACAAGUUUUCUUUUGGUGUGUGGUGCAAUGACUAUAACAUGGAAAUGUGACAAAAUAUCAAAAUCUGGAUUUGGUAGUAUUCUUAGCAUUUGGAUCCAACUUUUUUGGCUUGAUUUCUUAUUUUCUGUGGUUUACUUAUUUUUGACAGUUUUUUGUACCUUUCUGGUCAUAGUAUAUAUUUUGUUUGGUGACCAAUUGAGUUGGUAUGUCUGGUUUUGUCAGUUUUUCUUAUGUGACACCAUUGGAAUUUUAUCUUUAUGAACUAAUUGAAUACAUGUGUUAGAAAUUCCUUGAAUUGGUUUAUUGUUUCUGUGAGUGCAUCCCACAGCGCUCUGUGAGAGUUACCACAUUCCACCUCAUAAGCUGAAAAUGAAAAAGCAAAAAUCUUCAGCACUUUUCUAUUUGGGUUGCUUCCAGUAUAUCAGCUCAAGUUCCUAAAAUGUCAAUAUAAUUCAUCAAAACUCUAAAAAUACCCUUGCCACUUUUUCUCUCUAAAAGAAGCUUUGGACCAUAUCACCAAUGCUUUUUCAUGUUAUCCGUAUUUUCCUAAAUUAGAGAAUAGUUUUCAAAAACAAUGUAACUGCUUGAAGUCUCGGGCACAACCUAGAAAAGAAAUAUGAAUGCUAGGUGUCCAGAGCACGACCUUUAGAUCAUGCUACAAUCUAGUUGCUCUAUGAUUUCUAUGCAGUAUCAGGAUCAUGUAACAAGUCAAAUGCAAGAUUCAAUUAAAUUGUGAUUGACAUGCCUAACUUUCUCAAGGCAUACAAGUCAGCCAAAAGAAUUUGUAUAUUCAUUAUGUUAGUCAUAUAAGGUGCAUCAUUUUUCAUGUUUUUGACUAGUAAUGCGUGCUUCAGGUCAAGGAUCAUCUUUGAUUAUAUGUGUGGGAAUGUUGACUGGCUAGACAGAUACAUUAUACAAGAUGUUAUCUCAGCUCACAGGUAGAUGCUUAAAUAACAAAUUAUUCUAGUGUCCGUAUUCUAUCUAUCUAGGUAAUUAUUCUACUGUCCUUUUCUUUUCUUCUCUUUCUUCCUUCCCCAAAACCCCUCUGCAGGUGUGUGGGAGAGAAGAAAUAAAAUUUACUCUUUGGAAGCUAAAAUCUUUUUUAAACAGGUGUUUCAUUGU